UCUGGGUGUUGCGUUGUGUGU
rnacentral:miRNA from 1 species